AACGAACGCUGGCGGCGUGCUUAACACAUGCAAGUCGAACGCGAAAGUUUUCUUCGGAGAGCGAGUAGAGUGGCGCACGGGUGAGUAACGCGUAAGUUAUCUACCUCGGCAUCUGGAAUAACUCACCGAAAGGUGUGCUAAUACCGGAUACGUUGAGUAAUCAAGAAAGGUGGCCUCUGUAUAUGCUACUGUGCUGGGAUGAGCUUGCGUACCAUUUAGCUAGUUGGUAGGGUAAUGGCCUACCAAGGCAACGAUGGUUAGCGGGUCUGAGAGGAUGAUCCGCCACACUGGAACUGAAACACGGACCAGACUCCUACGGGAGGCAG
rnacentral:rRNA from 1 species